rnacentral:rRNA from 1 species
AAGACAAAAGGCAGAUCAUGUUAAAAUAACUACAUAAACAGAACAAAUUAAGUGAUCCCUGCCCUCAUGUUUUUGGUUGGGGCGACCGCGGGGGAACAAAAAUCCCCCAUGUGGAAUAGGAAUCUUUCCUCAAAAACAGAGCCACAGCUCUAAUAAGCAGAAUUUCUGACCAACAAGACCCGGCAAAGCCGAUCAACGGACCGAGUUACCCUAGGGAUAACAGCGCAAUCCCCUUUUAGAGCCCAUAUCGACAAGGGGGUUUACGACCUCGAUGUUGGAUCAGGACAUCCUAAUGGUGCAGCCGCUAUUAAG